CUGGGCCGUGUAUUAUAAAGAUCCAGCGUAAGUUGGAUUCAUCAUUAUAAUCCAGCGUAUCUCACAAUCAACUGUAACUCAAUAGCCGAUUUCCGUAUUAUAAACGCCCUUGGAAAUCAAGCGUGAGUUACAAUGGAUUCACGGUGAAAAAAACUAUAGUUUAUAAUUAAAGAGGUGACUAGCGGCGAGUCUACGACUUGGCUCAUGCGCAGUUGCACUAUUUUGCUUGCAGUGUCGUUUACUAUCUUCUUCGCAACAAUGAACCCCCAAUGAACCCAAUUUCUGAGCUUGAAAUUGUUUUUCGUAGCAAUUCCGAAAAUGUACAGAGAGACUUGUUGCCGUACCAAAUUCUUGCAUACUUUGAGUAUGUGCUUGAAACAAAAAUGUCCUGGAGAGAACGGACCACCAUGCACCAUGAGAGAAGGAAUUGAGAAGGACAGCUUCCUGUCAAGAGUCAUGGGUGCCUUGAGGUUCCAGCCUUGAAUUUCUGUCCUUUACAUCAAAGCGAUGGCCUUUUGGAGGAGCAAAGCACAAUGG